rnacentral:rRNA from 1 species
AUGCUAGCAGGACUGGGACAGGCGCACCCAUCCAUCGCAUUCCCUCAGUUCUCAGGAGAAAAUCCAAAUAUCUGGAGAACCAUGUGUGAGCAGUACUUUAACAUGUUUGGCAUCCACGAAUCCUUCUGGGUUCCGAUGGCGGCGCUGAAUUUUUCGGGCCCGGCUGCCAUUUGGCUGCAAUCCAUACAAAAAAAACUAGGAUCAUUUACUUGGGAGUCAUUUGCUGCCUUGCUAUGCACUAGAUUUGGGAGGGAUAGACACCAGAACCUGAUCCGUCAGUUCUACACCAUUAAUCAAACUUCCUCAGUAGCGGAUUUUAUUGAGAAAUUUGAGCUUAUUACAAAUCAUUUGAGUUCUUAUUCAGAUUCAAUUCACCCCUACUAUUUCCUUACUCGUUUUGUGGAAGGACUAAGGCCGGACUUGGACACAGCUUGUGCUCUGGCCCUGCUCCAGGAAGAGGUGGCUGACGGAGCAGGCGUGGAGUCGUCGCGGCCGUUCCACUACCAGCCCCGGCCUCCAGAGGUGAACGCGCGUCCUCCCGCGGCGUUGCCACUUCCCCCGCCACCAGGUCGUCCACCACCACAAGCUGGGGCGACCAAUCGGCGUGCCACCGACGCUGCUCGAGCCGAAGCAGCAAAGGUCAAGACUCUGCACGACUACAGAAGAGCACGGGGGCUAUGUUUCAAGUGUGGCGAACGCUGGGGUCAUGACCACACCUGCCCUACAUCAGUCCCAACUCCAUGUAGUUGA